ACGAAUAUGUUCUAUUUUCAAGAGGGGCAGUGUACCGGAAUUUACCUUUUUAUCAUCGAACUCCUCCUUUAUAUAGAUGGCGGCCCAUAGAUCGCAAUAGGGAGUACCCCAAGUUGAGGGCUGAUGGAUGGAUGGAAGUUGAGUUGGGAGAGUUUUUGGUGGAGGGAAAACAAGAUUCCGAUGUGGAAAUAAGUUUGAUGGAGGGGAAGGGUGGAAACUGGAAGCAUGGUCUCAUUAUUCAAGGGAUUGAGGUCAGACAAAAAGCUGGGUAAAUAUUUAACUUGUACAGUUGUACCCUAGACCUACCACAUCAUUGUAUGAUACUACUACUAGUAAUGGACACCUUUGAAAAUCUAGAAACUCUUAGGUUGAAGCAUUUUUCUUUUGCAUUGUCUGAAGUUCUUGGCAUGUUAGACGAAUAAGACACAUGUCCUUGAGUGUUUAUGAAAAAGGGGCAGAGAUUGAGGUGUAAACUAGGAAA
rnacentral:lncRNA from 1 species